AUGUGGGUGCUUGGGGUCCCAGAGCUGCUGGGAGAAGCUGUAUUGCCUGGGCACUGUGGGAUGCACAGAUAGCCCUUAAUAAUAAAUUGUUGGGUCCCCUGCUCUGCUACCAAUGCUGGCCUUCUGGACAAAUGCAAUGGAAAGAAAAAAGAAAGCUGAUCCUCUCUGAAGGCUCUAUCCCUUAGAAAUCCCUCCAAAGCUCUGGACCUGAGCAGUGCCAGAGAGACACCAAGUCCCUUCUGCUCGGCCAAAGCGUACCUUCAGAUUCAGCAUCACCAGUUAUACGGGCUCAUGCAGAGCUCAUGUUUCACUGCUGUCUUGUGCUAAUUUUUGGCAUCCAGGGAAUAGGCAGAAGUAGAUUGCCUGUGUCUAAUAGGUAGUUUAAGCUGUUAGAAAUGAUUUUCUGUUUAUUAAAUCUUAGUUGGUACCAUAGGUAUCUUCUACUUCCUCAGGUGAAGGGUUAAAAGCCUGUGUCACUGAUGCUAAUAUAAUGACAACAAUAGUAACAGACUUUGCCUCUCCUUCUGAAGGAGAAGCACUCUGGCCCUUAAAUCUGUCCCCUGUGGAGUAAAGUGUGCAAAUAGGUAGACUGUGUUAUGCAGUCAACAUGCUUUUGUUGUCUGCUUUGUGGUCCUUUCCCUCUUGACAACAGGGUGAGCCAUACUUCGGCCUUCUCUGGGAAGGUCCUCUGCCUCCAAACAGCUGUCACAGCUCUCGGCUAUUUCUGGUGUGACUCUGGGUUUCCAGCAUGUGGCUGAGGAUUUCCAGGAUGCUAACAGCUCCUAAAAGUGGGUGAAAUUAAAUAUUAGCAAUGAUAAAAAGAAAUUGUAAUGUAUUGACAUGACACUAGUAGCACCUGCAAGAACACUUCUCACAGUGCCUUGUCGCCCUGCCUGACACCUUUUGCAGUAAAACACCUGGGUUUUCACUUGAAAUCUGCCUUUGCAGAUUUGGAGGAGGGAAAACAAGAUGUUAGCACUGCAUUAGAAGUUCGCCUGCAACACCAGCAAAGACAGCUUUAAAACUGGCUCAGGGAGGCGAUGGGGAACCCCAGGAUGGGGACCAGUGGGGAUCUCCAGCAGCACACUGUUUCAGUGGGGGAAGCCAUUGAUCAAAGGGAGUAGAUAAAACUGGCCAAUGGGAACACUUGCUGACAUAUAUAUCUCGUUGAAGUUUGAACAGCAAGUCCCAGCAGGGAAGGCCUUAUCUGAAUACCAGCUUGCAUAACGGUAGCUAUGCCAGUCCUUAUUCCUUUUGGCUAAUUUGAAUGUAUUUAUUGGCAGAAGUCAGUGUUCGGAGAUAUUUGCCAAUUUUGAUAUUUUUAGGUGAGCUCCUUUGCAGCCAUCUUGCUCAUGCACCCUUCACCAUUACUUCUAAGCCUGAAUGCCAAGGGCAAGAAAGACUCUUCCAACCAGACCUCCCAGAGGGAGGCUCUGGUUAUACACUGGAGAGAUGCUUCACCAGAAGGCUGUGUGCAUUUUAAAACCUUGUCUGCUCCUCCUCUUGCCAUCAUCCUCCCAGUGUCUCCUCCCCGUUAACCUUUGCAUUAAUACCUGUGCAAUUCUAGCAGUUCGCAAGGCAGGUGCAGUUGUGCUAGGGCUGAUACGAGGUCCACAC